UACGGGGGGGGGCAAGCGUUGUUCGGAAUUACUGGGCGUAAAGGGCUCGUAGGUGGUCAACUAAGUCAUACGUGAAAUCCCUCGGCUUAACCGGGGAACUGCGCCUGAUACUGGUUGACUUGAGUUUGGGAGAGGGACGCGGAAUUCCAGGUGUAGCGGUGAAAUGCGUAGAUAUCUGGAGGAACACCGGUGGCGAAGGCGGCGUCCUGGACCAAUACUGACACUGAGGAGCGAAAGCCAGGGGAGCAAACGGG
rnacentral:rRNA from 1 species